CACUAAGUGGGAGGUAAACUCCUUCUAAAGCUAAAUACCGCCAUGAGACCGAUAGAAGACAAGUACCGUGAGGGAAAGUUGAAAAGCACUCUGAAUAGAGAGUCAAAUUGUACGUGAAACUGCCUAGGGGACGCAAACCUGUUGAACUCAAUGAUCCGGGCGGCGAUAUUCAGCGGUGGUCCACCCGUACGGGUUGGCUGCCGUGCACUUAUCGGUGGCAGUAACGGACAUCGCGAUCCAUUACAAUGGGGCAUUCCGGCAACGGCCCCUAGCUCGUGGUUGGCGGCUUUCUAGUAAGGUGGCUCGGCGGCCUCCCUGAGCGAAAGUCUCCGCGCCCUUCAUACCAGAGGGGCGCAGGGCCCGACCGAGCUUGGUGUGCCGCUGGAAGUGUGAUGGAUUGGUAUGAGCGGGGUUCGAGUGUGUGGUCUUAAGCCGGAGACCCGAAUAACACUCGCCCCCGAUCGGUGAUGACGCAGUAUGCAUUGAGGCACUUUCGGGACCCGUCUUGAAACACGGACCAAGAAGUCUAUCUGGCGCGCAAGCCAAUGGGUAAAUGGUGCGGUACGCCGCCCAUGACUGGAAACCCACAGGCACAGACAAAUCGAGUGUUGCGGGAUUACGGGUACGGCCGAUGGCGCAAGCCUUCGUCGGACCCCUCCAUCCCAGGGUGUCCCGUUCGGGUGCUUGCACCCAGCGGACAUCCCCGGAGUGCGUAGGAUGUGACCCGAAAGAUGGUGAACUAUGCCUGAUCAGGUUGAAGUCAGGGGAAACCCUGAUGGAGGACCGAAGCAAUUCUGACGUGCAAAUCGAUUGUCAGAGUUGGGCAUAGGGGCGAAAGACCAAUCGAACCAU
rnacentral:rRNA from 1 species